AAUUCAUGGUGGGGGCAUCUCUAAAGCAUGUCCUUGAACCUUUCCCAUGCUUUGUAUAAUGACUUUGCAUCCACCUGCACAAACAUAGUAAUAUCAUUACACAACU